UGCCUGUAAGGUACUUGCCCUUGCUGAGCUGGAGAAUAUUUCAGAGAAGAUGGAGACUUGCCCUUGCUGAGCUGGAGAAUAUUUCAGAGAAGAUGGAGACCAGAAGAAUAAACUCUGGGCAUUGAAGGGCUGCUUGAGAGAAACAUGGGAUAUCCAGCUGUACACUAAGUUCCAGGGACAGAACUGCACCUGGAUAUGAAACCAGCUGCAGUGUAUAGCAGGAAGCUGGGAUGAGAGGAUACUUUCAUAUGAGAACAAAACAAAACCAAACCAACAAAAACAAUUGCAGCCCUCCCAGGAACCACUGCCUGUUUAUGAACAAAAAACUAUUAAGGCUCUUGGGGAAAUGGAACACUCUGGUCCCACCAACAGCGAGCAGGGAUGUCUAGACAGUUGUCUUCACAUCAGACAAAAAGGGAUCACACAGGAAAUUCAAAGGAAAAUUGAUGUGGGCUGCUAUAAAAUAGAGGUAUUCAGGAUGAGGAUGGCAGUUCUGCUCCCUAGCAAGGUUCUCAGUGUGGAGUGAGUGGCCCACCUGCAAAUGCCUACCAGUUUUCACCAUCCUAGCUUUGCUCCCAGGAUGAAGAAAUUCAAAGGAAUCAAAGGAAUCCUUCAAUUUUCAUCUCAGCUCCACUGAAACCAAUAAAGGCUGCCCCAUGUAAACCACUGCUGCAUCACUGGCUGUGACAGUGAACACCAAAAUCACCCACACGGACUCAGGUCAGCACUG